CAUAGCGACUAUCGUGGCAUAUCAAUAAGCGGAGGAAAAGAAACUAACAAGGAUUCCCCUAGUAACGGCGAGUGAAGCGGGAAGAGCUCAAAUUUGAAAUCUUAAAGGGUUUCCCUUUACGAAUUGUAGUUUAAAGAAGUGUUUUCGGUUAGAGGAGUAGUAAAAGUUCUUUGGAAUAGGACAUCAUAGAGGGUGAGAAUCCCGUAUUUGACUAUUCUUUCUAGCUUUGUGAUACACUUUCAAAGAGUCGGAUUGUUUGGGAAUGCAGUCCAAAAUGGGUGGUAAAUUUCAUCUAAAGCUAAAUAUUGGCGAGAGACCGAUAGCGAACAAGUACCGUGAGGGAAAGGUGAAAAGAACUUUGAAAAGAGAGUUAAACAGUACGUGAAAUUGUCAAAAGGGAAGCGUUUGACACCAGUGUUGUUUUUCCGAAAAUCAAUUGCGAAUGUUUUAUUUUUGAGGAGUUAUGACUUCAUCGGCUUGCUCCUUUCUUUAUGAAACUUUCUUAAUGCACUUUUCGGUUAACAAGUCAACAUCAAUUUCUUUUGUUGUAAAAGGGUAUGAGGAAGGUGGCUUUCUUUUCGGAGAAAGUGUUUAUAGCCUUGUACCUCUGCAAUCGGAGAGAUUGAGGUCUGCAGCGUAGAUCCUUCGGGGUUAGAUACAUUUGUGCUAAGUUAUAGUCUUUCAUAGACAACUUGUUGACUAUAAUUUAAUCCUUGUAACUUACUCGCUUAUGCUAUUUUACCUACGCUUAGGAUGUUGAUAGUCACAGCGUGUAC
rnacentral:rRNA from 1 species